rnacentral:rRNA from 1 species
AGCGGGGUGAUGUAGCUAGCUACAUUACCUAGCGGCGGACGGGUGAGUAAUGCUUAGGAAUCUGCCUAUUAGUGGGGGACAACAUUCCGAAAGGAAUGCUAAUACCGCAUACGCCCUACGGGGGAAAGCAGGGGAUCUUCGGACCUUGCGCUAAUAGAUGAGCCUAAGUCAGAUUAGCUAGUUGGUGGGGUAAAGGCCUACCAAGGCGACGAUCUGUAGCGGGUCUGAGAGGAUGAUCCGCCACACUGGGACUGAGACACGGCCCAGACUCCUACGGGAGGCAGCAGUGGGGAAUAUUGGACAAUGGGCGCAAGCCUGAUCCAGCCAUGCCGCGUGUGUGAAGAAGGCCUUUUGGUUGUAAAGCACUUUAAGCGAGGAGGAGGCUACUUAGAUUAAUACUCUAGGAUAGUGGACGUUACUCGCAGAAUAAGCACCGGCUAACUCUGUGCCAGCAGCCACGGUAAUACAGAGGGUGCGAGCGUUAAUCGGAUUUACUGGGCGUAAAGCGUGCGUAGGCGGCUUUUUAAGUCGGAUGUGAAAUCCCUGAGCUUAACUUAGGAAUUGCAUUCGAUACUGGGAAGCUAGAGUAUGGGAGAGGAUGGUAGAAUUCCAGGUGUAGCGGUGAAAUGCGUAGAGAUCUGGAGGAAUACCGAUGGCGAAGGCAGCCAUCUGGCCUAAUACUGACGCUGAGGUACGAAAGCAUGGGGAGCAAACAGGAUUAGAUACCCUGGUAGUCCAUGCCGUAAACGAUGUCUACUAGCCGUUGGGGCCUUUGAGGCUUUAGUGGCGCAGCUAACGCAAUAAGUAGACCGCCUGGGGAGUACGGUCGCAAGACUAAAACUCAAUGAAUUGACGGGGGCCCGCACAAGCGGUGGAGCAUGUGGUUUAAUUUCGAUGCAACGCGA